rnacentral:lncRNA from 1 species
GGCAUAGGUGGGGCCCUUGCCUUUUUCUACAUGUGAAUCAUGUGAUCUAGGUCCACAUAAUAAACACGCAGCAUCCCUGGCCACAGCAUCAUUUGGGGCUUGGGCAUGUGACCAACUCUGGACCAAUCAGAGUCAUAUCAGGGCUGUUGCAGGAGCGAUUGGGGAAGUCGUGUGCUCUUUCUUCAGAACAUGUGAGGUUGGAGGUCCUGCAUUGAUGAGGUCACAGCCAGAGCGGAUCCUGGGGCUGCCAGAACACCGUGUGGGGCCUGAGGUUGAAGCCCGCACAGAGGAGGGCAGAGUCAGGUCCUCAGGGGAUGUGCUUCCUUCCCUCGGGAUGGAAUCCUUGAUGAGAGAUCAGGAGAGAAAGAGUUAUGGGAGAUGAAGCAGCAAAUCCCCCUCCUGAAACAGCCCUGUUCCCUGAGUGCCCAGCACACGUGCACAGACUGCGCGGGAGCUCUCUGGGGGGAGCCUGCCAGGACCGGGGGCAGCUCUGGUCAGGAACCCACAGCGAGGGGAGACACAAGGUGGACAAGACCUGAGGUGCAUCUGGGAGGAACGGCGCAGGACUCCCAUGAGGGAUCCCCCAGGACCCCACUGGAGCCCGACAUGGCCAGAGCAGACAAGAGGGGACGGAGGAGGCACGCACCAAGACCCCAGGAGAGACAUGGAACCAGCGCCAGAGAGAUGUGAGGAGAGCAAGAGGAAGAGACAGCAAGUGUCUGCUCUAGUGACAUGAAGCACCGGCUCCACGGGGCACGUCUGCAUGACAGUGUCAGACCCGCUCCAGAGAGGCCAAAGGAGAAGCACCUGUGGGGGGGCCUGGGACGCAGCUGCCACCACCCUCCCACCCUCCCCAGCACGUGGCUCUGAGCUGAAGCAAUGGUUGCAGUGUUGAAACACUCGAAAUGAGUCUCCAGCAGUUGGUGAUUAGGGACUGCGCCACGCCCC